rnacentral:snRNA from 1 species
GUAUUCACAUCGGCAGCACAUAUACUAAAAUAACUCAAACGAUAUAGAGAUGAUUACCAUGGCCCCUGCAGAAAGAUGACACCCAAAUUUGUGAAGCAUUCUCUUUUUUU